rnacentral:snoRNA from 1 species
UGGUCAUUAUAAAGGUUUUUAGAAUACACUGUCUGAUUUGCUGAGGAAUUGACAAUAAAAAAGCCUUCCCCCUAGGUUUUCUUUUUGCUACCUUGCUAGCAUUCAGCCUAUUGGGGAUAUUU